rnacentral:rRNA from 1 species
CACACCGCCCGUCACACCAUGGGAGUGAUUUGUACCAGAAGCAGGUAGACUAACCUUCGGGGGUCGCUUGCCACGGUAUGUGUCAUGACUGGGGUG